UACUUGGUUGAUCCUGCCAAGGAAGCACACUUAGGUCAUAGAUUAAGCCAUGCAAGUGUUAGUUCAGGUAACGAAACUGCGAAUAGCUCAUUAAUACGCUCAGAAUCUAUUUGGCGGCGACCAACAGGUCUUAAAUGGAUAGCAGCAGCAACUCUGGUGCUAAUACAUGCGAUUGUUUCUCCAGAUGUGAAUUAUGGAGGAAAAGUUGACCUCAUCAGAGGCACGCCAUUCGACUGAGUGACCUAUCAGCUUGUACUUAGGGUCUUUACCUAGGUAGGCUAUCACGGGUAACGGGCGGUUACCGUCGGACUGCCGGAGAAGGCGCCUGAGAGAUAGCGACUAUAUCCACGGGUAGCAGCAGGCGCGAAACUUUCCCACUCGAGACUUUCGGAGGAGGUAAUGACCAGUUCCAUUGGUGCCUUUUGGUACUGUGGAUAGGGGUACGGUUUUCCACCGUACCGAAACCUAGCAGAGGGCCAGUCUGGUGCCAGCAGCUGCGGUAAUUCCAGCUCUGCGAGUUUGCUCCCAUAUUGUUGCAGUUAAAACGCCCGUAGUCUGAAUUGGCCAGCAAUGGUCGUACGUAUUUUUACGUUCACUGUGAACAAAUCAGGACGCUUAGAGUAUGGCCACAUGAAUGACUCAGCGCAGUAUGAAGUCUUUGUUUUCUUCCGAAAACAAGCUCAAUGAGAGCCAUCGGGGGUAGAUCUAUCUCAUGACGAGUGGUGGAAUACUUUGACUCAUGAGAGAGAAGCUG
rnacentral:ncRNA from 2 species